GAAAGAUUCAUCGGAAGAGGAUGGGCAUGCGGCGCAUUAGCUAGACGGCGGGGUAACGGCCCACCGUGGCGACGAUGCGUAGGGGUUCUGAGAGGAAGGUCCCCCACACUGGUACUGAGACACGGACCAGACUCCUACGGGAGGCAGCAGUGAGGAAUAUUGGUCAAUGGGAGAGAUCCUGAACCAGCCAAGUCGCGUGAGGGAAGACGGCCCUAUGGGUUGUAAACCUCUUUUGUCGGAGAACAAAACCCGGGACGUGUCCCGGACUGCGUGUAUCCGAAGAAAAAGCAUCGGCUAACUCCGUGCCAGCAGCCGCGGUAAUACGGAGGAUGCGAGCGUUAUCCGGAUUUAUUGGGUUUAAAGGGUGCGUAGGCGGUCCGUUAAGUCAGCGGUAAAAUUGCGGGGCUCAACCCCGUCGAGCCGUUGAAACUGGCAGACUUGAGUUGGCGAGAAGUACGCGGAAUGCGCGGUGUAGCGGUGAAAUGCAUAGAUAUCGCGCAGAACUCCGAUUGCGAAGGCAGCGUACCGGCGCCAGACUGACGCUGAGGCACGAAAGCGUGGGGAUCGAACAGGAUUAGAUACCCUGGUAGUCCACGCAGUAAACGAUGAAUGCUGGUUGUCCGGGUCGAAUGAGAUCUGG
rnacentral:rRNA from 1 species